rnacentral:rRNA from 1 species
CCUACGGGGUGCUGCAGUGAGGAAUAUUGGUCAAUGGACGAGAGUCUGAACCAGCCAAGUAGCGUGAAGGAUGACUGCCCUAUGGGUUGUAAACUUCUUUUAUAUGGGAAUAAAACGUUCCACGUGUGGGAUUUUGUAUGUACCAUAUGAAUAAGGAUCGGCUAACUCCGUGCCAGCAGCCGCGGUAAUACGGAGGAUCCGAGCGUUAUCCGGAUUUAUUGGGUUUAAAGGGAGCGUAGGUGGAUUGUUAAGUCAGUUGUGAAAGUUUGCGGCUCAACCGUAAAAUUGCAGUUGAAACUGGCAGUCUUGAGUACAGUAGAGGUGGGCGGAAUUCGUGGUGUAGCGGUGAAAUGCUUAGAUAUCACGAAGAACUCCGAUUGCGAAGGCAGUUCACUGGACUGCAACUGACACUGAGGCUCGAAAGUGUGGGUAUCAAACAGGAGUAGAUACCCCUGUAGUC